UACGUAGGCGGCUUGUCGCGUCGUCCGUGAAACCUGGCAGCUCAACUGCAGGCUUGCGGUCGAUACGGGCAGGCUCGAGUUCGGUAGGGGAGACUGGAAUUCCUGGUGUAGCGGUGAAAUGCGCAGAUAUCAGGAGGAACACCGGUGGCGAAGGCGGGUCUCUGGGCCGAUACUGACGCUGAGGAGCGAAAGCGUGGGGAGCGAACAGG
rnacentral:rRNA from 1 species